rnacentral:rRNA from 1 species
UUAGCCUACGGGACGCAGCAGUGGGGAAUAUUGCACAAUGGGGGGAACCCUGAUGCAGCGACGCCGCGUGAGUGAAGAAGUAUUUCGGUAUGUAAAGCUCUAUCAGCAGGGAAGAAAAUGACGGUACCUGACUAAGAAGCCCCGGCUAACUACGUGCCAGCAGCCGCGGUAAUACGUAGGGGGCAAGCGUUAUCCGGAUUUACUGGGUGUAAAGGGAGCGUAGACGGCAGUGCAAGUCUGAAGUGAAAGGCAAGGGCUCAACCCUUGGACUGCUUUGGAAACUGUGCUGCUGGAGUGUCGGGGAG